GGAGUGUUAGUAAAACAAUUACACAGUCUUGUCAAGACUGAAUUACAGGUGAAAACCCAGUACACUUCA
rnacentral:tRNA from 1 species